CUACCUUGUUGCUUUGGCGGGACCGCUCGGUCUCGAGCCGCUGGGGAUUCGUCCCAGGCGAGCGCCCGCCAGAGUUAAACCAAACUCUUGUUAUUUAACCGGUCGUCUGAGUUAAAAUUUUGAAUAAAUCAAAACUUUCAACAACGGAUCUCUUGGUUCUCGCAUCGAUGAAGAACGCAGCGAAAUGCGAUAAGUAAUGUGAAUUGCAGAAUUCAGUGAAUCAUCGAAUCUUUGAACGCACAUUGCGCCCCUUGGUAUUCCGAGGGGCAUGCCUGUUCGAGCGUCAUUACACCACUCAAGCUAUGCUUGGUAUUGGGCGUCGUCCUUAGUUGGGCGCGCCUUAAAGACCUCGGCGAGGCCACUCCGGCUUUAGGCGUAGUAGAAUUUAUUCGAACGUCUGUCAAAGGAGAGGAACUCUGCCGACUGAAACCUUUAUUUUUCUAGGUUGACCUCGGAUCAGGUAGGGAUACCCGCUGAACUUAAGCAUAUCAAUA
rnacentral:rRNA from 1 species